rnacentral:tRNA from 1 species
GACCGGGUGGCAGAAUGGCUAUGCAGGGCUCUAGAAAAUCUCGCACGCCGGUUCGAUUCCGGCCCCGGCCU